UAAACCACUCUCGGCAACGGAUAUCUCGGCUCACGCAUCGAUGAAGAACGUAGCAAAAUGCGAUACUUGGUGUGAAUUGCAGAAUCCCGUGAACCAUCGAGUUUUUGAACGCAAGUUGCGCCCGAAGCCUUUUGGCCGAGGGCACGUCUGCCUGGGCGUCACAC
rnacentral:rRNA from 1 species